AAGUGCAAAAUCUAUUUGGUUCGUGCAAAAGUAAUUGCGGUUUUUGUCAUUGAAAGUAAUGUCGAAAUUCACAAUUAUUUUUGCACCAAUGUAACACAUUUU
rnacentral:miRNA from 1 species